rnacentral:lncRNA from 1 species
GGGUUUCAAACCCUCAGGACAGUAUUUACAAUCAUUACUUACCUCGAACCGGCUAAUCCUCUAGCUCACGAUGCCUUUGUCUCUCAAAUCGACCUCUGAAUGCCUCGAAUCUAGCCACAAUAAUUCGAUUUAGUUAAUAAAAAUUAUAGGAAUUAAUUCCAUAUAAAUUCUACAUUUUCCAUUAAAAAUCUGAAAUUGCACUCAAAAUUUGCCCGUGGGGCCCACAUCUCAGAACCCGACAAAAAUUAUAGAAUAUGAAACCUCAUCCAACCACGAGUCCAACCAUACCAAUUUUACUAAAAUCCGACAUCAACUCGACCCUCAAAUCUUCAAAUUAAACCAAGAGGAUUUUCAAGAUUUUCCCAACUAAAAUCACCAAUUAAAUGCCAAAACUAGUAAUAAAUUCGGGUAAUCUAACCAAAAUUAAUUUAAGAAUACUUACCUCGUUGUUUUCUCUGAAAAUCUCCCGAAAAUCGCCUCUCCCCGAGCUCCAAUUUGGUAAAAAUGGAAAAUGGGAUUCGUCCCAUUUUCCAGAACUUAACAUUCUGUC